CCUCCUAUUUCCAAAAAUUUCCCAAAUACACCUUAACCCAGCUAGUUGGGACUCCAAGGAUUCUCAAAUACCCUAGUUUGCUACAGCUGUCUCUCUCUCCUAAUACACCUUAACCCAGCUACUUGGGACUCCUCUCCACGCCUUCGAUGCCUUAACGGCGGGGAUAUACCGGAAGUAUCGCGCGCCGACCAACUGAUAGCUCCUCGGAAUGCAAAGCGACGGAAUGGACCAGAUUUUUCCAGAGCGUCAAACCCUAACUGUCUGUCUUAAUUUUACCAAAAACUGUAGUCAUCUGAUAGUGCAAUCCCUUUUUCUAUUCUUCUGAUUUGCAUUUUUCCGGCUAGAUUUUGCGGCAUUUAACAGAUUUGAGAGUACAACUAUACAAUCGGAGACAUUUCAUUUUCGAUUUUUUGAGAUUCUUCAAGUGGUGAAGCCAUAGCUAAGGCUAGGAUUUCACUUGAGGUAUGUGUUUAAUGCGUUGGACUUACUUAUUUUACAUUCUGUUUUGAGUAUCAAGAAGUUCGUAUGCAUUGUUUCAGAUUUGUGAGGUAGAAUCAUGAAAAAAGUUGAAGCCCAUAACUUCGUCACUGAUUUUUGCUUUUCUGCUACAAAUUGCUAACAAAUAAAAUCAUAUUCUCUUUAUUGGUUAGUUAUAAACGAGGGGAUGCCUAGAUGGGAUGGGUUUAAUGUAAGCAAAUCCGUCAGUAAAUUGAAGGUGGACAUGAUGAAGAUAAAGAAACUCACUCAUAUGAAAUAGAUCCUGCUCAGGUAUAUGAAUGUGGAAAUUCUUCGGGGGUAAAUUUAUUAGACAAAGUGACUACACUACAAUUAUUCUUGUAGUCCGAUUAGACUUUCAUUUCGGAUAGAUUUUAUUUUAUUUAUAUAUUUUAAUUUAUGGAGUUUGUAAUGAGAAUAUUUCAAAUAUAGUAUUAACUUUUUAGAAUUAUAUGAUCAUGGAUAUUUUUUAGGACUG